rnacentral:rRNA from 1 species
AGAGUUUGAUCCUGGCUCAGGAUGAACGCUAGCGGCAGGCCUAAUACAUGCAAGUCGGACGCUCAGUAGCAAUACUGGGAGUGGCGCACGGGUGCGUAACGCGUACACAAUCUACCUCUAAGCGAGGGACACCUCCUGGAAACGGGGAUUAAUACCGCAUAAUAUGCCGAAGUCGCAUGACUUUGGUAUUAAAGCAGCAAUGCACUUAGAGAUGAGUGUGCGUCCCAUUAGGUAGUUGGUGAGGUAACGGCUCACCAAGCCUAUGAUGGGUAGCCGGUCUGAGAGGAUGGUCGGCCACACGGGCACUGAGACACGGGCCCGACUCCUACGGGAGGCAGCAGUAAGGAAUAUUGGUCAAUGGUGGAAACACUGAACCAGCCAUGCCGCGUGGAGGAAUAAGGUCCUACGGAUUGUAAACUCCUUUUGACGAGGAAGAAAAUGUUAGAUUUAUCUAAUUUUGACGGUACUCGUAGAAUAAGCACCGGCUAACUCCGUG